rnacentral:rRNA from 1 species
UACGUAGGUGGCGAGCGUUGUCCGGAUUUACUGGGCGUAAAGGGAGCGUAGGCGGACUUUUAAGUGAGAUGUGAAAUACCCGGGCUCAACUUGGGUGCUGCAUUUCAAACUGGAAGUCUAGAGUGCAGGAGAGGAGAAUGGAAUUCCUAGUGUAGCGGUGAAAUGCGUAGAGAUUAGGAAGAACACCAGUGGCGAAGGCGAUUCUCUGGACUGUAACUGACGCUGAGGCCCGAAAGCGUGGGGAGCAAACAGGAUUAGAUACCCCGGUAGU